AGGUAUCACAGGACCUAAGAAAGAAAAGGCACCAUCACACCCAAAGGACCCAAAGCCAGUCAGAGGAGAGGAGCAUCAUUUUUCAACAAGUUGUAACUCAGCCUCUUGGCAACCUGCUGCCCACAUUACACGGCGACUACGUACCUGCAGGAACAGGGCCCAGUCCUGCCCAGAUGUGCGCCAUUCAAAGGUGUGCGAGGGAGGGAAACGCACACCUUCUGUCGCACGACCCAGCUCCUCUGAAAAGGAGAUGUUCUCCACCAUGAAAAGUGGGCCGGCAAACCCGCAGGGAAGUUUUCCCCUCUGCGUCGGUGGAGCAGGCAAAAUCCCCUUGAAAAGCUCUCGGCAGCAGGUGACGGGCCACUGUGGCGAAACAGGAGCGAGAGAAUGGCGUCUGCCAUGCUAAUGAGACGCGGCCCGGGGUGAGACGAUGUUCAGUGUGUGACAGCUGCCUGGGAGUCACUGACUCACAUUUCAAAUAAAAAAAAAAUCACCCGAUAACCAUUCUUCGUCUACUACGAUGUCACAUCUGAAGCCAAGAAGAAAGCUUUGUAAGGGCUGCUUUAUACCGGCAGCAAUUUCAUACUGAUUUUGUGAGAACUGACAGAAGGCUGUACUAACAGCACAGCCCUUUGAAAUAACAGUUAUUAUUACCCUACAUAAAACUGUACUUAUUCUAUAUGACACUAAUCACACAGUAACAUACAGAAAGUGCAUGUAUGUACAGUGUGUGUAUGUGUGUGUGUGAAGAAUGGAGAAUUGAGGUAGUUGGCCUCAACAAACUGAAUUAAUUAAGGAGUUAAAUGACACAACUACAGCAGGUUUGUGAGAAAUCCAACAUUUCUGAGAUACCUGAUACAGAAGUGCC